UACGUAGGUGGCGAGCGUUGUCCGGAUUAACUGGGUGUAAAGGGCGCGUAGGCGGGGAUGCAAGUCAGGUGUGAAAUCUAUGGGCUUAACCCAUAAACUGCACUUGAAACUGCAUUUCUUGAGUGUCGGAGAGGUAGACGGAAUUCCUAGUGUAGUGGUGAAAUACGUAGAUAUUAGGAGGAACACCAGUGGCGAAGGCGGUCUACUGGACGAUAACUGACGCUGAGGCGCGAAAGCGUGGGGAGCAAAC
rnacentral:rRNA from 1 species